rnacentral:rRNA from 1 species
AGAUUGAACGCUGGCGGCGUGCCUAACACAUGCAAGUCGAGCGGUAACAGGUGUAGCAAUACAUGCUGACGAGCGGCGAACGGGUGAGUAAUGCUUUGGAAUCUUCCCAGUAGUGGGGAAUAACCAGUCGAAAGAUUGGCUAAUACCGCAUACGUCUGUAAAGGGAAAGCGGGGGCUCGUAAGACCUCGCGCUAUUGGAUGAGCCAAAGUCGGAUUAGCUAGUUGGUGGGGUAAUGGCCUACCAAGGCGACAAUCCGUAGCUGGUCUGAGAGGACGACCAGCCACACCGGAACUGAGACACGGUCCGGACUCCUACGGGAGGCAGCAGUGGGGAAUAUUGGACAAUGGGGGAAACCCUGAUCCAGCGACGCCGCGUGUGUGAAGAAGGCCUGCGGGUUGUAAAGCACUUUUUAGUGGGGACAAAAAGCUACGGAUUAAUACUCUGUGGUCUUGAUUUAACCCAAGAAAAGCACCGGCUAACUCUGCGCCAGCAGCCGCGGUAA